GAUGAAGAACGUAGCGAAAUGCGAUAAGUAAUGUGAAUUGCAGAAUUCAGUGAAUCAUCGAAUCUUUGAACGCACAUUGCGCCCCCUGGUAUUCCGGGGGGCAUGCCUGUCCGAGCGUCAUUACAACCCUCAAGCUCAGCUUGGUAUUGGGCCCCGCCGCUCCGGCGGGCCCUAAAGUCAGUGGCGGUGCCGUCCGGCUCCGAGCGUAGUAAUUCUUCUCGCUCUGGAGGUCCGGUCGUGUGCUCGCCAGCAACCCCCAAUUUUUUUCAGGUUGACCUCGGAUCAGGUAGGGAUACCCGCUGAACUUAAGCAUAUCAAUAGCGGAGGA
rnacentral:misc_RNA from 1 species